CGUCGUGGCAUGAGAAUUAAACUUUAUGUCCCACGAGUUCGUUGACAUUUGUCAUUUGCUGAUCGGAUAAAUAAAAACAAACGAAUUUCAUCAACAAAUGCAUUUCAUGUUCAGUUGUUUAGUCUCAGUGAUAAUCAGUGAAUACAAACGUGUUGGAAAUGCCAGGAACUGAGUGAAUAAUUCAUAGUUUCACCUGAAAAACAUGAAAAUAAUUCGUUAUUUAAUGGAAAAUGAAAAACAAAAAUUAGAAGGGAAUUUUUAUGAUUGAUGGACACGAGAGGGGCACCAAACACCCACGAGGUUAUUCACUGGUUGUCAUUUUGUCCAGUAGAACGAUAAACAAAGCCAUUUUGUUAGCAAAUCGACUCCAACUACAAUUGUUUAAUCAUCCAAAAUUCUGUAAAUAUGUCUCUGUUGUUGACAACUGAAACUGGAUGGAUUCUAUCCCACUUAAAAUACAUAAAUAAAAUGUAUAUAGACAUUAAAAAAGGAGAUCAAGAGUUCGAAUUGAAUUUUUACAACAAAUUGUUCGAUAUAAAUAGUCAAUAUCUCCGGGACAAUCAAUUUGAGAAGGCGAUUGAUGGAGUGAUUGACGAAGAUAAUCAUAAGGGCGAGAAGAGGAAGAGGAAGAGAAAGAGGAAAGUGGAAAUUGAUUCCUCGAUCUUAAAUGAAAUUAAAUUUGUUAAGGAGAAUUUUGAGGGAAUAAUGAGUGACAGAGUGAGAGCAUCAAUUUUCCUGAGGACAGAGGGAAGAUGGGGGGUUGUGGAUAACAAUAAGAUCGCUCGGGAAGGCUCCAAUGAUUUCUUCCAGAGAAGUUUUGGUGGGUUUGAUGAGUUCUUUGGAAGGAACUCGAGGGAUCAGGCUGUUGUAGAGAGCAUCAAAGGGGUAGAGUAUGUGUUCCCUGAGAAUUGUGAGUUCUACUCGCACGAUGUAAGGAACAUUGGGGAAAUGUUAGAGGGGAGAGAGUUUGAUUUUGUGUUGAUGGACCCUCCCUGGUGGAAUAAAUUCGUCAGGAGGACGAAAGACAGGAUGAACGAGACUGGGUAUAAAAUGAUGUAUAAUGACGAGCUGCUCAAAAUACCCAUUGAGAAAUUAUUAACAUCGAAUGGAGUCAUUGCAGUCUGGUGUAGCAAUGCCCAGAGUCAUUAUUGUGAUAUUAUUGAGAAAAUCUUCCCGAGUUGGGGGAUUAAACCGAUUAGCACUUGGUAUUGGGUCAAGGUAACCCAGACUGGAUACCCCAUCUGCAAUUUUCGUUACGAAUCCGUGAAGCAGCCUUAUGAAUUGAUUAUUUUUGGUGCAAAAAUUAUGAACGAUGAAGUUAAGAUCCCAGAUAAGAGGAUAAUGAUUAGUGUACCGAGCUCGGUACAUUCUCACAAGCCUCCAUUAACAGAGGUCAUUAAACCAUUUCUUCCUGAAAAUCCAAGGUGCCUGGAAAUAUUCGCACGAUAUUUACUCCCUCACUGGACCAGCUAUGGACUUGAAGUACUAAAAUUUCAACAUCAGUGGCUUUUUAAGAACAGGGAACUCCUUAUUCUCCAGAAGUCAUUACUGAAACUUGAUUUCCCAGAAAAUCGAAGGUAAAUUCAAUCGCAUGGAAAUAUGACAAAUUGCAAUCAUGAGAUCAUUUAGCCUGACAACAAAUCGGUGGUUCCCGGCAUUCGUGAUUUCAUUUGACGAAUUGGUCUGAAAAUAUAUCAGAGGAUAAUUAUCAAAGAACUCAGGGAUUCCCUGAAAGUUUUUGCAGAAUUCACACAAAAUAGAACAAUUCAAGUUGAAUUCAAUUUUUUAUAAAAUGAAAUCAUAGGAAUAUCUUUAUUGUUUAAAAUUUCGAAAUAGUACGUUGACAUGCGGCGUCGGAAUCCGUUGAUCCCCACUUCACCCAACAAUAGGCACUGUCCCCAUGCAUAUUUGACUACAGUGCGUGACCGUGACGUUUACCUGGUUUACCUGUUCUGUUGUCUCUGUUGUAACAACA